rnacentral:lncRNA from 1 species
AAAAAGGCUAGGCAGGUAUUCACAGGUCUCGGCUUUCUUCCUCUUCCCACCUUUCUUUUGUUUGCAGCUUCCCUCACUGAAAGAGGAACUUUAGGUUCAGGACCUCGAGAAAACACACACACACCCGGACACUCCGGACAGCCUGUGAGGAAUCAUUUCAAGAGUUCAUCUUAUGUUUUAGGACACAGCAGCUGCAUCAUUCUUUGCUUCUUAUUCCCUCGCCCAUCAUGAGCACACCUUCCCCCGUUCUCCUACCGAAAGGCUUCGACUACAGGUCGCCUACCUGUGGAGUGUAUCAAUGCAACAGCCAUGGGACCUGUGCGCCCCCCCCGGACGACAGCGUCGACCUGGUGUGCAACUGCAACCUGGGAUACGCGGGCCAGUUCUGCGAGGACACGGUCAACGGGGCCCUGAGCGCACCUCUGACCCUGAGUGUGAUCGUCGUGAUCGUGGGGCUGCUGAUCCUGGCUUUCAUCGUUGCAAAGUUGAGACAGAGACAGAAGAAGGAGCAAAGGAGACGUGUGGCAACCAAACAGGGCUACAACAUUGCUGUAUAAUGUGGAUAAAUAUAGCUGAUAUAUAAG